rnacentral:rRNA from 1 species
UACGUAGGAUCCAAGCGAUGUCCGGAUUUACUGGGUGUAAAGGGCGUGUAGGUGGGCUCUUAAGUCGGUGGUGAAAACUUGCAGCUCAACUGUAAACUUGCCGGCGAAACUGGGAGUCUUGAGUGCGGAAGAGGGAAGCGGAAUUCAUGGUGUAGCGGUGAAAUGUGUAGAUAUCAUGAAGAACACCGGUAGCGAAGGCGGCUUCCUGGUCCGUUACUGACACUGAGGCGCGAAAGCGUGGGGAGCAAACAGG